rnacentral:rRNA from 1 species
GAUGAACGCUGGCGGCGUGCCUAAUACAUGCAAGUCGAGCGAACAGACGAGGAGCUUGCUCCUCUGACGUUAGCGGCGGACGGGUGAGUAACACGUGGAUAACCUACCUAUAAGACUGGGAUAACUUCGGGAAACCGGAGCUAAUACCGGAUAAUAUAUUGAACCGCAUGGUUCAAUAGUGAAAGACGGUUUUGCUGUCACUUAUAGAUGGAUCCGCGCCGCAUUAGCUAGUUGGUAAGGUAACGGCUUACCAAGGCGACGAUGCGUAGCCGACCUGAGAGGGUGAUCGGCCACACUGGAACUGAGACACGGGCCAGACUCCUACGGGAGGCAGCAGUAGGGAAUCUUCCGCAAUGGGCGAAAGCUUGACGGAGCAACGCCGCGUGAGUGAUGAAGGUCUUCGGAUCGUAAAACUCUGUUAUUAGGGAAGAACAAAUGUGUAAGUAACUAUGCACGUCUUGACGGUACCUAAUCAGAAAGCCACGGCUAACUACGUG